AGUGAACGCUGGCGGUAGGCCUAACACAUGCAAGUCGAACGGCAGCACAGUAAGAGCUUGCUCUUACGGGUGGCGAGUGGCGGACGGGUGAGGAAUACAUCGGAACCUACUUUUUCGUGGGGGAUAACGUAGGGAAACUUACGCUAAUACCGCAUCCGACCUACGGGUGAAAGCAGGGGAUCUUCGGACCUUGCGCGAUUGAAUGAGCCGAUGUCGGAUUAGCUAGUUGGCGGGGUAAAGGCCCACCAAGGCGACGAUCCGUAGCUGGUCUGAGAGGAUGAUCAGCCACACUGGAACUGAGACACGGUCCAGACUCCUACGGGAGGCAGCAGUGGGGAAUAUUGGACAAAGGGCGCAAGCCUGAUCCAGCCAUACCGCGUGGGUGAAGAAGGCCUUCGGGUUGUAAAGCCCUUUUGUUGGGAAAGAAAAGCAGCAGGUUAAUACCCCGCUGUUCUGACGGUACCCAGAGAAUAAGCACCGGCUAACUUCGUG
rnacentral:rRNA from 1 species